UGUUGCGUGUUAAGAAAACAGAGUGGGAGGACUAACUGCCACCAAGUUCGCAGAUACAUCUGUGAACACACUUAUUUCAUAUAAAGGAAAAUAAUGCUGGUAAAAUUAGAACACUGUAUCAACCUGAAAAAUGCUUGCAUACUUACUUUGGACAAAGAGAAGAGAAACACCUGAAAUUGCCAGCUAAGUAUCUUAUUUUUUUUCUGUCUUUCUUCAUCAGUUCCAACAGCUCUGUUGUUGUUGUUGUUUUCUUACAGGAAAAUAAAUUAAUAAGCAGAACAAGAAAUUUAA